GACCUGAUAGCACAACUGAUUAGUGUGUCUGCUAGAAAUACGAAGGCUAGACAGGUUUAAGCAGAAGGUUCCCGUUCGACUCGGGGUUAGGUCA